CUAGGGUGAAUGACACUUUUUAUAAAGACAUGCAGACGCUCACGAGUUCCAGGAAAUGCAGAAGUGAUCCUUCCCUUUUCAACAUGAGACUAGAGCAGUGUUAGUGAGCAGGUUGGACGCUCUAACGUCACUCUGCUGUUUUCACACUCUCUACAGCAGCAGCUGAAAAGGCUGAUGUGAGGUGAGGAAUCAGUGAGUGUCUGAUGAGCAGCUUCACUCUGAUCACACACUGACUCAACCAUGUGGAUCCACUGCUGUCAAACAUCUGCUGCUGCCACGACAUUAAGUGUAAGCUGGCUGACACGUUACACGCUGUCAGUGAGACACUUCUGAGGAAGGAGAGAGACAUCACAGAAAGUGUCAAACAAAGCUCAUCAUCUCAUGACGUGGAGAUGGAUCAGGACACGGUGAAGGAACAACAUGAGAUCCAGACUGAAGAUCAGAGGAAGCAGCUCACACCUGGACCUGGACCUGGACCUGGACCUGGACCCAGCUGUGUGUCCUUUAGAAGUGACCAGUCCAUGCGCCAACCCAUUAACUUCAAAGGAGGUCCAUCUACUGACCCACAGACCAGGAAGCAGCUCACAUCUGGAUCUGGAUCUGGACCUGAACCUGGACCCAGCUGUGUGUCCUUUAGAAGUGACCAGUCCAUGAUUAAACCCAUUAACUUCAAAGGAGGUCCAUCUACUGACCCACACAGCUUGGAGGGUGUGGAUGGUUCCUCUGGAGCUGAGCCUGACUCCAUCUUUACGGUGUGUACGUCUACAAAGACACUAAACCUGUGUCAGACUGUGAUCAAACCUCUGUACACACACACACACACACACACACACACACACACACACACACACACACACACACACACACACACACACACACACACACACACACACACACACAGAUGAUUGCAGCAGGCCUUCACUCAUCACCUUUAAUGUGUUUGUGUUCCAGCUGCUGGAGGACAACAUCAUCAGCUUUGUUAAGGCUGAACUCAAACACAUGCAGAAGAUUGUGGAUGGAGAUGAUACAGAGUGCUCAGAGAGUCAGAUGGAGGGUGAAGAUGAGGAGCAGAGGAGGAGCAGGGAGGCCUUUCUGAACAUCACAUUGUAUUUCCUGAAGAGGAUGAAGCAGGAGGAGUUGGCUGAGCGUCUGCAGAGCAGUAAGAGUAUGUGAACAUCUUCACUGUGAGGAACAUCACAUGAAGGACACA
rnacentral:lncRNA from 1 species